rnacentral:misc_RNA from 1 species
CUCGUUAUUGUUAUCCUUAUUUUUUUUUUCAAUCAAGAAUGUAUUAUAUGCAUAAUUAUGCACAUUAGCUUUGUCAAUGACAUCCGUAAAUUAAUAAUGUACCAGCAACAGGAUUGAUCAUGUCCCAAGCAACACCUGCUCGCUCCACUUAAGUGCAAGGAUCGUUCUUAAAAAAAAAAUAAGGAUAACAAUAACGAGGACUGGUCCAGAAUUUCCAAAAUAGAUCCUAGAACAUGUGUUAACAAUAGACAAAUAAUACAUCCAUGCGAGAAAUUAUUAAAUAAAUUAGUUCCCAUUCCCGCCAAAGAGGUAACCAAGAGAAGAUCCACCACCAGGGGCAGCAUGAACUUUGGUGG